ensembl:lncRNA
UUAUAGUGAAUUUCCCCAAAUGUUUGACCUGUAACAUGGUACAUUAUUUAUUUAGUUCCACUUGUCAUUUAUUGUUGGUUCCGAUGGGGCGCUAAUUGGGGUCGCACACGCCUAGACUUCCUCUCAUUCGGCAGUUUGGAAAGGGGGUAAGUUGGAUUUAUGAGUCCUACAUCAUGAAUGUUUUGUUUUAGCCGUUGUCUCAUUGUUUUCAUGACACAUACAGUAUAUAUUUGUCAUGGUGUAUGAAUGUUUACUAUGGGUUCCGCUGUUCGCGGAUCGGCAAAUAUGCAAAUGAGUGUAAUAAGAUCUGAAUUGAAUGAAAGGUAUUCAAGUAGGAGCUAACGGGCUAAUUAUGCUGUCGUAGGGAUGUCAGCGUUAUCUCCAACUGCCCGCGUGUGAUAUACCCUGUUGUCCUAUGUUACAGUUUGGAAGGGGAAUAAAUGCUGUCAGAUCCAUUCCACGUCUCCUCUGCAUUAUCGGCCAACUAGUCACACGACGACCUGUGAACAUUAAUGUAACAGGCUGAUCAAAGUCUGUUACAUAAACAAGGAUUCAACUGAUCAGCCGCUGUUGCCGAUCCCCGGGGUUAAGCUGUCUGCAUGAAGGUAUCGUGAUGGAAGACCAGUGAAUCCUCAUCGUCCGUGCUAAUUGUACUGUGUGUCUAGGUCAAUUGGAAUUUAUCUGGUUAAGUUUCAAUACUACAUUAGGUUUUGUUGUGCUUCUCUUUUCUUUAUUUUAUUUUAUUUAAUUGAGAGGGAAUAUACACACAAUUUUGGUUUUCUGUUGACGAUAUUCAGUUUACAGUAUGGCCAGUGGAUGUGAUUUUUUGAUAAUGUGACACCUUAUGUCGGG